rnacentral:rRNA from 1 species
UCCCAAGGGUUGGGCUGUUCGCCCAUUAAAGCGGUACGUGAGCUGGGUUUAGAACGUCGUGAGACAGUUCGGUCUCUAUCUGUCGCGGGCGGAGGAGGGUUGACGGGAGCUGCCCCUAGUACGAGAGGACCGGGGUGGACGCACCUCUAGUGUGCGAGCUGUGCCGCCAGGUGCAUCGCUCGGUAGCUAUGUGCGGCAGAGAUAAGCGCUGAAGGCAUCUAAGCGCGAAACUCGCCUGAAGAUGAGCCCUCCCGGGCCGCAAGGCCCCUGAAGGCCCCUGGGAGAUGACCAGGUAGAUAGGCCGGGGGUGGACGCGCCGAGAGGCGUGCAGCUGACCGGUACUAAUCGGCCGUGCGGCUUGACCAC